UAAAUAUAAAAUAAAAUAAAUCUUUACGUUUCCUUCAAGGCCAACAUCAAAAGCCUCUUCUUUGAAGGCUUCUCUGACUAAACACUAGCUGUUUCCAGAAUUCUUGUGGCAUCCAAUCUGACUGGAAGAUUUAACAUCAGAUUAUUUGUUGUAAUUAUAAAUGUACAGAUCUUAAUAUUCCAUUAUAUGGUCUGUGCAUAUUAUAGACCCCUGCCCACUGCACUUUGGGGCUUAAAACCUAUUGGUUGGCUAAUUCAGUUAUUAAAGAAUUCAGUAAAUGAGAAUAACACCUUGUCUCUCUUGACUCUUGGUCCAAAUCUCUUGCAAAUAGGCCACACCGUAGUCAUAGAGCAAGAGGACUCAGAUACAGUUUGGUUGGUCCUUUACCUUCAAAAGUUCAAGUGCUGGCUGCCGAGACUUCUCCAACUCAGUGAUCAGGGUCCCAAGCUGGACCACCUCCUCAGAACCCUUGAUGACACGGCUGUUCCUCCUUUUGAGACACUUACUGAUGCAAAGGAGACUGAACAGUGAAGGAUCUCACUCAGAAUCCUGUCCACAAUCUGUCCAGUUUACACCUUACCCCAAAGAGAGGUAGCCUGUUAUACAACGUUCUUCACCUCAUUCUCUCACUUCACAAUAUAUCUUGGAGAUCUUACCAAAAGCACACAGAGACCUCCUGCGUUGUGAUUAGAUUUUCAUUGCAUAAUAUUCCAUUGUUCGUGUGUGUGUGAGUGUUUAGUUAGUCUCAAAUUGAUAGGUGCAUGAAUUUUUCCAAUCUUUUGUUAAGGCAAGCAGUAUUGAAUAAACUUGUACAUAAUAUUUUUGCAUGUGUAUAAUUAUAUCUGUAGAAUGAGUUUCAAAAAAUGAAAUUGAAAGGUUUAAGGCUGUAUUCACAAACAAUUUUGAAAGGUAUUGAUUGCCUAAUUGUCCUCCAAAAGGUUUGUCCCAAACUGGACUCCUAUAACCAAUAAAUCAAAGUGCUUGUUUCUCCAUAGCCUUGUCAACAGAGGGUGUUGCCAAACUUUUAACUUUUUGCCAAUCUGACAGGAAAGACAUGAUAUCUCCUGUAGUUUUUCUUCUUCCUCUGGUAAAAGCAAGGUUAAGUGUUUUUUCAUGUGUUUAAUAACUAUUUUUGUUUCCUUUUCUGAGUUUCUUCACAGUUCCCGAGACAGAAAAAAGGAAAAAGGAUUUCAGCAGACAGAAUUUCAACAACAAUUGUCUGUUAAAAUUCUUUUUACUUUUUCUUUCAGAGAUUGCUAGUCUCUUUCUUCUCAAUUUUAAGGUGCAUUUUAAUUGCUAAAGAGGUCAUUUCUUUGGAUGUGAUAUGCAUGAAAAUAUUUCUAUAAGUUUUUCAUUUGUCUUUUGAUUUUUUAUGAUAUUUUCUGCUACUCGGAACUGCUUUUUAUUUUAUGUAGUUCAGUUUAUUAAUUUUCUGUCCUAUGGCUUUUACGAUUUGGAGUUACAGUUAGAUAGCCCUCCUCCAAAGUUAGAAAGGAAUAUUUCCUUUUUUUCAUUGAAAACUUUGACCCAUUUGGAGUUUAUCAUGCUAUACAGUUGGAAUUGUGCCCAACUUUAAAUAUUAUUUCCCAUGUAGUUAUCCAGUUAUCUCAAAAGCAUUUAUUGAAUGGUCAUCUAUCUUUUCCACUGAUCUGAGAUCCCAUUUUUAUCAUCCACUAAAUUACUGUAUGCUUGGGUCUAUUUCUAGAUUUCCUUUUAUUUUUCAUUGAUCUGUCUGUUUAUGUACCAACAUCACAUUCUUUUCGUUAUUGAGGCUUUAGAAUGUUUUCAUAUUUGGCAAAGCCAGUUUUUCUCAAGCUCCCCUUGUCUGAGGUUUAGUUGGUAUUCUUUCUUUAUUUUUCAUAUGAAUCUUUGAAUCAGUUUAUCUAGUUAAAAAGAACACCUGGCUGGGCACGGUGGCUCACGCCUGUAAUCCCAACACUUUGGGAGGCUGAGGAGGGAGGAACACCUGAGGUCAUGAAUUCGAGACCAGCUUGGUCAACAUGGUGAAACCCCAUCUCUACUAAAAUACAAAAAA